AGAGUUUGAUCCUGGCUCAGAUUGAACGCUGGCGGCAGGCUUAACACAUGCAAGUCGAGCGGUAACAUUUCUAGCUUGCUAGGAGAUGACGAGCGGCGGACGGGUGAGUAAUGCUUGGGAAUAUGCCUUAUGGUGGGGGACAACAGUUGGAAACGACCGCUAAUACCGCAUAAUGUCUACGGACCAAAGGGGGGGAUCUUCGGACCUCUCGCCAUUUGAUUAGCCCAAGUGAGAUUAGCUAGUUGGUGAGGUAAUGGCUCACCAAGGCGACGAUCUCUAGCUGGUUUGAGAGGAUGAUCAGCCACACUGGGACUGAGACACGGCUCAGACUCCUACGGGAGGCAGCAGUGGGGAAUAUUGCACAAUGGGCGCAAGCCUGAUGCAGCCAUGCCGCGUGUGUGAAGAAGGCCUUCGGGUUGUAAAGCACUUUCAGUAAGGAGGAAAGGGAUGUAGUUAAUAACUGCAUUCUGUGACGUUACUUACAGAAGAAGCACCGGCUAACUUCGUGCCAGCAGCCGCGGUAAUACGAAGGGUGCAAGCGUUAAUCGGAAUUACUGGGCGUAAAGCGUUCGUAGGCGGUUGAUUAAGCAAGAUGUGAAAGCCCAGGGCUCAACCUUGGAACUGCAUUUCGAACUGGUUAACUAGAGUACUGUAGAGGGUGGUGGAAUUUCCAGUGUAGCGGUGAAAUGCGUAGAGAUUGGAAGGAACAUCAGUGGCGAAGGCGGCCACCUGGACAGAUACUGACGCUGAGGAACGAAAGCGUGGGGAGCGAACAGGAUUAGAUACCCUGGUAGUCCACGCCGUAAACGAUGUCAACUAGCCGUUUGUGUCCUAGAGACGUGAGUGGCGCAGCUAACGCACUAAGUUGACCGCCUGGGGAGUACGGCCGCAAGGUUAAAACUCAAAGGAAUUGACGG
rnacentral:rRNA from 1 species